rnacentral:rRNA from 1 species
GAUGAACGCUGGCGGCGUGCCUAAUACAUGCAAGUCGAGCGAACGGACGAGAAGCUUGCUUCUCUGAUGUUAGCGGCGGACGGGUGAGUAACACGUGGAUAACCUACCUAUAAGACUGGGAUAACUUCGGGAAACCGGAGCUAAUACCGGAUAAUAUUUUGAACCGCAUGGUUCAAAAGUGAAAGACGGUCUUGCUGUCACUUAUAGAUGGAUCCGCGCUGCAUUAGCUAGUUGGUAAGGUAACGGCUUACCAAGGCAACGAUGCAUAGCCGACCUGAGAGGGUGAUCGGCCACACUGGAGCUGAGACCCGGUCCAGACUCCUACGGGAGGCAGCAGUAGGGAAUCUUCCGCAAUGGGCGAAAGCCUGACGGAGCAACGCCGCGUGAGUGAUGAAGGUCUUCGGAUCGUAAAACUCUGUUAUUAGGGAAGAACAUAUGUGUAAGUAACUGUGCACAUCUUGACGGUACCUAAUCAGAAAGCCACGGCUAACUACGU